UUGGCGUCCACGCUCUAGGGAGAGAGGGCACAUGUAAUUGGGGAAAGCUCUGGCUGGCAGAGUUUGGGGGUGGGGGGGUGGACAGGCGAAGGGGUAGCCAAGUCUCUCGAGGAGGCCAGCAACGCGCGUGCGGGUCCAAUGCGGGUUCCCGACGCGAGACGCCCGGAAACCUGCUCCCCAGUGAGAACAAAGGCAGGCGCCGAGCGAGAACCUGAUUGGUGCCGGGUCCCCACCGGUGUCCUCCUGGCCCCGGAGACAACUUGCUUCACCCACUGGCGCGGAGCUCCGUGCUCACUGGAGCCCGAGCUCCCCACCCGCCUUUGGCUGUGACCACACAGGACUGUGCGUUAUGACAUCACCUGUUUUCGCUCUUCAGAACAUGAUCUGUAUUCUCAGCUUCUCCUUUUUUAAAGGUCUCUAGUGGGCCGGGAUUUGUGAAGGCCUGCGGCCCGCAGAAUGAAUCUGGAGAUGAUGUAAAAGAACGGUUUCACUGCUCGGAUAGCAAAAAGAGAAUAUGACUUAAGAGAGUGACUUGUGAAUCCUGGAUCACACUCUUAAGAGGGAAGAAAACAAAAAGCAGUUCUUUAGAUUUCACACAGGAUAAGGAGAAACUUCCUCCCUUUUGUUGUCUGACUCAAGUCUGGCCACAUGGCACAAUGGACGGCCCAUACAUUUGGAGAGACUCCAAGAAAUCCAUCCCAAGCUCUGAAUGGUCCUGGCACUGUUCCAAAAUUUUACUAACUUUCCACAUAUUGUGAUUCCGGACACGUUUAUACCUUGGUCCCCAGGAUAAUGGAAGCCACAAAAGAGACAAAUUAAAAUGUCAGCCCAGCUGGGCCCACAUUGUGGGCCAGCAAUUACCAUGGAACCCCUUGCCUCUUAGAUCACCUGAGUAUAGCACAUCUGGGCUUCCUAUAAGAGGAAUAACGAAAUAAUCCAGAGUGAUUUCCUAGAUGUUCCCCGACUCAGUUUAAGUACGGUGUGCUUCUUAAUAACUGCUCAGAUUUCGAUAAGCAACAGGAAAAAUUUUUAAAAAUCAGGCAAAAGGCAGAGAACAGAAUCCUGGGAAACUUUGUAACCCAACAACCCCUGCCAUCAUCUGGGACCUAACUAACUUGAAACACACGAUCGGCUGGAGAGGCAAGUAAAAUAGAGCAUCGGUGUUCUCCACCUGAGGGAAGAAUAUCAUUCAGACCUCACUGCAGAUUCUGACGGAAGGUAUGAAGGAAGGAAGCCAUGUCACUACAGAUGGAGCAAAGAAUGUCCACAGCAAAGGGCACAUCUGACAGGUCCUACCCCUUGUGAGAUCAUGGUAGGUGUUCAAAGCAUCCGCCUGAGAGAAAUAAGGGAAACAGGACCAGAGUCGGAAGAACAGAUGACCUAAGGAAUUAAACGGUGUGGGAAUUGAGACAUUGCUUUUCUCCUCACUUUCUCCUUUUUUUAUU